UACAGAAGGGGCAAGCGUUAUUCGGAAUUAUUGGGCGUAAAGAGCUCGUAGGCGGUUUGUCACGUCUGCUGUGAAAUCCCGAGGCUCAACCUCGGGCCUGCAGUGGGUACGGGCAGACUGGAGUGCGGUAGGGGAGAAUGGAAUUCCUGGUGUAGCGGUGGAAUGCGCAGAUAUCAGGAGGAACACCGAUGGCGAAGGCAGUUCUCUGGGCCGUAACUGACGCUGAGGAGCGAAAGCGUGGGGAGCGAACAGG
rnacentral:rRNA from 1 species